UACGAAGGGGGCUAGCGUUGUUCGGAAUUACUGGGCGUAAAGCGUGCGCAGGCGGCUAUCCAAGUCAGUGGUGAAAGCCCGGAGCUCAACUCCGGAACUGCCAUUGAAACUGUUUAGCUUGAGUACGAGAGAGGUGAGUGGAAUUCCCAGUGUAGAGGUGAAAUUCGUAGAUAUUGGGAAGAACACCGGUGGCGAAGGCGGCUCACUGGCUCGUAACUGACGCUCAUGCACGACAGCGUGGGGAUCAAACAGG
rnacentral:rRNA from 1 species